GAGGGUAUAGCUCAGUGGUAGAGCACAUGCUUAGCAUGCACAAGGUCCUAGGUUUAAUUUCCAGUACCUCCA
rnacentral:tRNA from 1 species